GUUUCCUUCUCCUUUAACAGCAGUGGGCCCCUUAUACUUCCUGGACCCUCGCCCUGCAUGUAUAUGUGGACGCUCCUGGUUAUAAGAUAUUCACAGUAUAUACGGUACAUGGUAGAUGCCCAACCUGCAUUCCUACAAUUACUACAAUUAAUAAAUCGGACUGAAAGUUGAGCUGUUACGAGUUGUACUAUAUCCACAGCUAAAGGUUUAUAAUUUAGGUAUAUUAUCCCCUUAUUUAGGGCGUUCUCCAUUCCCUGCUUUAAAUUAGAAACAAACCCUUAAUUAAAAAAAAACCCCUACCCUACAUAGACCCCCCAGCCUAGCUGCCUGCCCCCGGGCAAAUGCCCCUAACUCUUUACUUACCCCUCUGUGCAGAUUCUGUCCAGCGGAGUUAACAGGCAAAAUCUUCUUAUUUUCGGGAAUAAUCGGAAUUAGACCGGCAAAGCGGCAUGCUGCGAAACUCACGGAAAUUGCCAAAGCACCAGUCUCAUUUUGAAGAUUACCGAAUCGGCUGAAGAAUCUGCAUGGAGGUGUUUUGAGGAUUUCACAAAGAUAAUAACAGCUACAUCAGCGUUACAGAAUGAGUAGAAAGACUGUCAGUAAUUUUUACAUGAGACUCUAGAAGAAAAGAUCAAAGAUUUUGAAAAAGCUGUACAAAAAGAAAAUCUUCUGCUGGAGGCAUCAGGACCUUGUCUUCCAGGUAGUAAAGUAAGAAAUGUCUCUGCGCUCCUCAUUUGUUUUAUAUGGAUAAGGUAAAAACGCUAAAACAAAAGAGAAGGGAACACCAUACAGAAAAUGCAACAGACAAUUGGACACCUGAGUGAUCAGCCGGUGGACUUAUCUCAUGUAUUAGUGCAGUUUGGCUAUUAAUGUUUGGCCAAGAAUGUAAAGCCAACAUUCAGGAAGAAAAAAGUUUAAGGUGUGAUAAAUGUAUGCUUUAACAGUACUUACUUUAAGAGCUCUUAGAUUAGUUGCUCCUAAGAGUUCCAGUGUCCUCCUGUUGUCCUAAAUGAUUAGAAACUGAUUAGUGAUCUAGAAUAAAGGACCACUUUA